GAUGAACGCUGGCGGCGUGCCUAAUACAUGCAAGUCGAGCGAACAGACGAGGAGCUUGCUCCUCUGACGUUAGCGGCGGACGGGUGAGUAACACGUGGAUAACCUACCUAUAAGACUGGGAUAACUUCGGGAAACCGGAGCUAAUACCGGAUAAUAUAUUGAACCGCAUGGUUCAAUAGUUAAAGACGGUUUUGCUGUCACUUAUAGAUGGAUCCGCGCCGUAUUAGCUAGUUGGUAAGGUAACGGCUUACCAAGGCAACGAUGCGUAGCCGACCUGAGAGGGGGCUCGGCCACACUAGGACUGAGACACGGGCCAGACUCCUACGGGAGGCAGCAGUAGGGAAUCUUCCGCAAUGGGCGAAAGCCUGACGGAGCGACGCCGCGUGAGUGAUGAAAGUCUUCGGAUCGUAAAACUCUGUUAUUAGGGAAGAACAAAUGUGUAAGUAACUAUGCACGUCUUGACGGUACCUAAUCAGAAAGCCACGGCUAACUACGUG
rnacentral:rRNA from 1 species